UAGAAAAUGGUAUGAUCUGUCUAGAAAGGAAGGAACUACAGAUGUUGCAAGAGACGGGAGGCCUGGAGUAGCCUUGGAUGAAAAACCCUAAGGUGGAGACUGAGGCCAGCAGGCAUUAAAAACAGAUGACUUGGGAAAAUACUUCACUAAGGACUGUCUUUGGGUGGUGAGCUGAGGAAGAAAAUACAUAAUGGUAUGUAUUUGCCAGCUUAGAAUUGAAAAAGUGGAAGUCAUCUGAGAAUAUUGCACUAGAUGAAGCCUCAUACUCUACAAAGCUCAAGUGCACAAAAGGAAGGAGACAAGAUAAAGGAAAAAUGUUCUCGUAGUGACCUUCAGAAAGUGAACUGAGAUUCAGCUGGGACUCCAGAUGAACACAAAACCAUUCUUGUACCACCAACAGUUGGCAACAGUUCCUCCAUAACAGCGAUUUUUACUCUGCUACUUAAAUCACUCUCAUACUCGGAACAGUCCAC